rnacentral:rRNA from 1 species
UACGGGGGGGGCAAGCGUUGUUCGGAAUUACUGGGCGUAAAGGGCGCGUAGGCGGCCUUCUAAGUCAGACGUGAAAUCCCUCGGCUCAACCGAGGAACUGCGUCUGAUACUGGAAGGCUUGAAUCCGGGAGAGGGAUGUGGAAUUCCAGGUGUAGCGGUGAAAUGCGCAGAUAUCGGGAGGAACACCGGUGGCGAAGGCGGUUCUCUGGGCCUUACCUGACGCUGAGGAGCGAAAGCGUGGGGAGCGAACAGG